AUUGAACGCUGGCGGCAGGCCUAACACAUGCAAGUCGAACGAGUGGCGGACGGGUGAGUAAUGUCUGGGAAACUGCCUGAUGGAGGGGGAUAACUACUGGAAACGGUCGCUAAUACCGCAUACCCUCAGAUGUGCCCAGAUGGGAUUAGCUUGUGGGGGGGGUAACGGCUCACGAAGGCGACGAUCCCUAGCUGGUCUGAGAGGAUGACCAGCCAAAUGGGAACUGGGACACGGUCCAGACUCCUACGGAAGGCAGCAGGGGGGAAUAGUGCACAAUGGGCGCAAGCCUGAUGAAGCCAUGCCGCGUGUAUGAAGAAGGCCUUCGGGUUGUAAAGUACUUUCAGCGGGGAGGCGUUACCCGCAGAAGAAGCACCGGCUAACUCCGUGCCAGCCGCCGCGGUAAUUC
rnacentral:rRNA from 1 species